rnacentral:rRNA from 1 species
UACGGAGGUGCGAGCGUUAAUCGGAAUUACUGGCGUAAGGGCGCGUAGGCGGCCGAUCAAGUCAGAUGUGAAAGCCCACGGCUUAACCGUGUGAAGUGCAUCUGGAACUGGUCGGCUUGAGUAUCGGAGAGGAAAGUGGAAUUCCCGGUGUAGAGGUGAAAUUCGUAGAUAUCGGGAGGAAUACCGGUGGCGAAGGCGACUUUCUGGACGAAUACUGACGCUGAGGCGCGAAAGCUGGGGGACGAAACGGAUUAGAUA